rnacentral:rRNA from 1 species
CCCUUAGAUGUCCUGGGCCACACGCGUGCUACACUGACACUUACACCGAGUUUUUCCGGCCCCGAGAGGUGGCUGGUAAUCAGUAAUAGGUGUCGUGAUGGGGAUAGAUCUUUGGAAUUAUUGAUCUUGAACGAGGAAUGCCUAGUAAUCGUAGGUCAUCAGCCUGCGAUGAUUACGUCCCUGCCCUUUGUACACACCGCCCGUCGCUCCUACCGAUUUCGAGUGGUCCGGUGAACCUUUCGGACAGAGAGAGUCUCGUACAAUCUCUGAAAGUCAAGUAAACCACAUCACUUAGAGGAAGGAGAAGUCGUAACA